UCCUUGCUGUGAGGCGGCGAGGCCCUGCCACAGUCUGCCCAGUGAAGGUGUGCAUUCCCCAUUCCUGGCAGGGUUCGAGGACAGGUUGGACUGGGCUCGGAGCAACCUGGUCCAGUGGAAGGUGUCCCUGGAACCAGCUGAUCCUUAAGGUCCCUUCCAACCCAAACCAUUCUGUGAUUCUGUGACUCUGUGACUCUAGCAUCCUGUGAUUCUAAGAUUCCAUGAGCAGGUCCCACCCCUUUACAACAGGUCCUGCCCAGUGACAACAAGCCCAGCCCAAGACCCCUCUCCCAUAUAAACCCCUCUUCCCACAGCUGUGCAGCAGAAGGUGCUGGACGGGGCACAGCGGUUGAGAGAUACUGCUGAAGAGACAUUCCUUUAUUUUCUGAUGAUCCUCCAAACCUGCCUGUGCUGUUCCCUGAUGUGCCAGCAGCUGGGAUUGGUAGUCCAUCACCGCCUGGCUAUAAACUUCAGUUGGACUGUGAGGUAAGGACAAGCUUUGCUCCUCAGGAAGAAGCCCCCCAGCUAUGCAGCCACCUUAUCCUUGUGACCUUGUGUGUCACCAUCUGCCAUGGGUUCACAGGUGAGAGCUAUUUCCUUUUCUUGGAGAGAUGAGUUUAAAGGUGA
rnacentral:lncRNA from 1 species